rnacentral:tmRNA from 1 species
GGGGCUGAUUCUGGAUUCGACGGGAUUUGCGAAACCCAAGGUGCAUGCCGAGGGGCGGUUGGCCUCGUAAAAAGCCGCAAAAAAUAGUCGCAAACGACGAAAAACUACGCUUUAGCAGCUUAAUAACCUGCUUAGAGCCCUCUCUCCCUAGCCUCCGCUCUUAGGACGGGGAUCAAGAGAGGUCAAACCCAAAAGAGAUCGCGUGGAAGCCCUGCCUGGGGUUGAAGCGUUAAAACUUAAUCAGGCUAGUUUGUUAGUGGCGUGUCCGUCCGCAGCUGGCAAGCGAAUGUAAAGACUGACUAAGCAUGUAGUACCGAGGAUGUAGGAAUUUCGGACGCGGGUUCAACUCCCGCCAGCUCCACCA